rnacentral:lncRNA from 1 species
UUUUUUUUUUUUUUUUUUUUUUUUUUUUUUUUUUUUUUUUAAGGUCCACACCUUCAGCUUAUGGAAGUUCCCAGGCUAGGGGUCAAAUCAGAGCUGCAGCUGCUGGACUAUACCACAGCUCACAGCAACGCCAAAUCCUUAACCUACUGACAGAGGCCAGGGAUUGAAUCCCUGCAUCCUCAUGGUUGCUAGUGGGUUUGUAACCCGCUGAACUACAACAGAACUCCCAGAGCAGAAUAUUUUUAAGAGGAUCUCACUUUUUAGGUGCUACAGAUUCAUCAUUGCGAUAAUGGACUUAGUACCAUUGAAAUUACAUAGACAUAUAUGAAAUCAGUUAUACAAUUAAGUAUUAAUUAAUAAAACUAAAUAUCAGUAAGUAUUAAUAGAAUGCAAUAUUAAUUUAAAAGGAGAAAUUGGCUAAAAUUGAGCAUGAGUUCAUAUGCAUAUUAAUUUUAAGUGGAUUCCAUGGGUAUUACACAGGUAUUAACAUAUUUAAAAUACAAUUCUGUUACAAUUUUUAGUGACAUUUAAGAAAUUCAUUUUUAAAAUAUUUAUUAGAUUUAAUUCAUAUUCAUAAUAAUUUUUCUUUAUAUUCUUCCACUGCACAAUUAUUUUACAUGUUAAAAAUCUUCUCCAAAUAAUACAGAUAAUUGGUCAUCUCAUUUACUAAACUUUUUCUUUGAUAAGGGGGAGAUAGUGAAAAUUGUCCUAAUUUUAUUGGAAUUAUGCUUUACAAAUGAUAAAUUUAUAUUCAUAUACCAUUUAAUGUUCUGUUUUACCUCAGCAAAGUUGGAGACCUAAAUCAAGCAACUUUAUAUAUUGAGUGAGUUAAGUUUUGCUAGUGGCAAAGCUGCAGCCUCUCUUCACAUUAUAACUGUAAAUAUUGUAUAGGUGAGUUUGGAGACUUUCAGUGUCUUUGAGGUAAACCUAAAACAAGUUUUUUCUGAGUAGACUAAAGGAUUUAAGAUUUAAUACAAAAUGUAUAUAUAUAUUCUUUCUACACAUAUCCAAGGCAUCCAUUAUGUUUAAGGUGGUACUCUUGUAUAAUGUUAUUUUAAUAGCAGAAUAUAAUGAACUGCCUCCUAAUAGUCAGUACUUUUUAGCAAAAUCAGUGAAAAAUCACAACUUGCAGAAAAUUUCCAGGAAUAUUAAAGAAUUUAGAUGUCUUUAUUUUUAUCUCAUAUUUUUAUAUGUAUUAAUAGCACAUUUUACUAUUUAUUUAUAUCAAAUGAUCUUUAUUUCUUUUUAGUGGGUACUUAAAAAUACUAUAGUAAUCAAUUUGUGUUGUUUAUAUUUAAAAAGUUGUUUAUAUUAUUUCAUAGUUUUAAAAAUUCACUGUUUUGUGACUAUACCUUUUAGAGACCAUUUUGUGGCAUUCACUUUGUCAUCCUUUUCACUUUCGGAGAUCAGGCAUUGGCAAAAAGGUAAAUUUUUUUUAAAAUACAUCAAAUGGUCUAUUUAGAUACUGAUUUCAGUUUUCUUCAGAAAGAACACAAUUCAUAUGUAAAGAAAGUAUGACUUUCAAAAAAAAUUUACGCAAGUCUAAUAAGCUGAUAACAACUUGGGAUAAAAACAAAUUAGACUUUCACCUUCUGAUAUAGACACAUGGAUAUUGAGCACUUAAAAUGCGGCUAGUCUGAAAUGUGCAGCAAGUGUAAUAUAAACAGAGGAUUUCAAAGCUUAGUCUGUAAUAAAGUACAGUAUCUCUUUAAUAAUUUUUAUGCUAAUUACAUGUUGAAAUGAUAAUCCUUUGUGCUGAAUUAAAUAUUUUAUUCUUAAAAUUAAAUCCAUCUGUUUAUUAAUGUAUAUACUGGAAAGUCUAAAAUUACAUGCUUGGGUUUUGCCUUGUAUUUCUUUUGGACAGUGCUCUUAGUCCAUCACCUGCUGGUGCCUUACAUAUGUUUUACUCACUGGUGCAUUAGUGAGUAGUAUCAUUAUUCACUGACUGAUGAACUUUCAAAGACCUUUCCACUUUCAUGUUGACUACAAGGGUAUGUCCAGUGAUGAAUUAUUCAUUUGUAGCACUGAGGAAGCAUUUAGUAGAUCCCAAGAGGAGUGUUGAGCCAAGGGCAGUUUUUGGUAGACAGGCUUCUGACAUCUGUUUCAAUCUAAGCAUAUAUCACUCUAUGAGAAUAAAUACUCUCAGAAACAGGCCUUGCUUUUACAUGCUCAUGGAAAGAGCUGUGUUGAAUAGAUAAUGCUAAAACUGUCUUUGUUUUGUUCUGGUUCAUUUUUUCCAGCUUUACUGAGAUAUAUUUGGCAUAUGACAUUAUUUAAGAUGUAUAAUAAUUUGAUUUGAUAAUAUAGAAAUUGUGAAGUGAUUAUCACAAUAAGGUUAGUUAACACAUCUGUCAUUUCACAUAAAACGUGUGUGUGUAUGUGUGUGUGUGCAUGUGAUGAGAACUUUCAAGAUAUACUCUUUGAGCAACUUGCAAAUAUACAGUAUAGUCUCCUUAACUGUAGUUAUCAUGCUGUAAUUACAUCCCCCAAACUUAUUUAUCUCAUAACUGGAAGUUUGUACUCUUUGCCACCUCCCCCCGCCUCCCCCAAGCAGCCCUGGCAAUCAGGAAUCUCUCUGUUUCUAUACUUUGUGUUUUUGCUUGUUUGUUUGGGUUUUUUUUAACAAUUCAUAUAUGAGACCAUAUAGUAGCUGUCUUUCUCUGUCUGACAUAUUUCCAUAGCAUAAUGCUCUCAAGGUUCAUCCAUGUUGUUACAAAUAGCAAGCUUUCUUCUUUGGUAUGACCCAGUGAUAUUCCAUUGUCUGUGACAAAGACAUUUUCUUUAUCCAUUAGUCUAUCAUUUGACACUUGGGUUGUUUCAAUGUCUUGGCUAUUGUUAAUGAUUUUACAGUAAACACGGGGAUACAGAUAUUUCCACAAGAUAGUGUAUUUAUUUCUUUCAGAUAUAUAGCUAGAAGUGGAAUUGCUGAAUCGUGUGAUAGUUGUGUUUUUAAUUUUUUGAGGAACCUCCCUACUGUUUUCCAUAGUGACUAUACAAAUUCACAUUCCUACCAACUGUGAACAAAUAUUUUCUUUUCUUAACAUCUUUAAUAGCAUUUGAAAUCCCUUGUCUUUUUUAUAAUAGUCAUUCAAACGAGUGUUAGGUGAUAUCUCAUUGUGGUUUUGAUUUCCAUCUCCCUGAUGAUUAGUGAUGUUGAGUACCUUUUCAUGUACCUUUCGGCCAUUUGAAUUCUUCUUUGGAAAAAUGUCUAUUCAUGUCCUUUGCCCGUUAUCUAAUAUCAGUCACAAAAACUAACUCAAAAUGGAAUAAAGGCCGAAAUGUAAGACCUGAAACCAUAAA